AGCUCCAAUAGCGUAUAUUAAAGUUGUUGCAGUUAAAAAGCUCGUAGUUGAAUUUCUGGCGUUGCUCUAGGCUUCAUAUUUGAAGCCUAGUCUUCGUCAUCCUCGCGAAUAGCUUCGGUUACUCGCGUCCUUUACUGUGAAAAAAUUAGAGUGUUUAAAGCAGGCGUAAGCUUGAAUACAUUAGCAUGGAAUAAUAAGAUAGGACUUCGGUACUAUUUUGUUGGUUGCGUAUCGAGGUAAUGAUUAAUAGGGACAGUUGGGGGUAUUCAUAUUUAACUGUCAGAGGUGAAAUUCUUGGAUUUGUUAAAGAUGAACAACUGCGAAAGCAUUUACCAAGGAUGUUUUCAUUA
rnacentral:rRNA from 1 species